AACGGACUUCAAGCAAACGUGAUCAUUGUCGACAGCUGCCGAAUAGAGUACUAUUUUGUAUGAAAUAGCUUUUUUACUUACAGUGUUUUACAGUUGUGUAACACACUGUCAAUGCACUUUUGUUAAAAGUUGUGAAGUACAAGAUUUCGCAUCA